rnacentral:lncRNA from 7 species
GCAGCCCGACAAAGUGGUGGUGGUCUGGACCCGACGGAACAGGAGGGUCUGCAGCAAGCCCCACAGCUGGCAGCCCGGAAUCGAGAACCCCUACCGGGGGUUGGUGGUGUGGGUGGUGCCCGAGAGCCUCCAGGUCGUGGUCACGCUAUACCGGGACCCCCACGCCACCGCCUAUGACCCCAAAGAAUGGACCUUCGUGGUGGAGAACGUGAGUGCCCCCGUGUGACCCCAAGACCCCGUGUGACCCCGUGUGACCCCAUCACCUCGUGUCACCCCAUGACCCCAUUCUGUGACCCCCCAGUGACCCCAUGACCCCUCCCGGGGACCCCAUUCCCCCCUCCAGUGACCACGUUUGCCCCCCAGUGACCCCAUUCUCCCCCGCAAUGACCCCAUUCCCCCCGCCCCAGUAACCCUAUUUGCUCCCCAACCACCCAAUUCCCCCCCUUGGUGACCCCGUUCCCCCCCGUCAGUGACCCCAUUCCCCCCUAACCACCCCGUUCCCCCCCUUGGUGACCCCGUUCCCCCCUCAGUGACCCCAUUCCCCCCCAGUCACCCAAUUCCCCCCCUUGGUGACCCCGUUCCCCCCCUCAGUGACCCCAUUUGCCCCGCAGCGACCCCAUUCCCCCCCAGUGACCCCAUACCCCCCCAUUGCCCCCAUGACCCCCCCCGCUUACCCCCCCCAGGAGUCCCGGGCCGUCGCACGGCGGUGGCCGCAGCAGUGCUGGAUUUGGGGCGCUUUGCGGGUCCCACCCCGUCCUGCACUGCGCUGUCGCUGCCCCUCCGGCCCCGGUCCCGCAAGGUGACGGCCGCCUGUCUGCGCCUCCGCCUCAGCGCCACCGUCCUGCACGAGGGGCACCCGGCGGACGAGGACAUGCGCAGCGUGGCCAGCCUGCUCAGCUCGCGCCUGGGGGGGACGUGGCCGACCUGCGGGACUUCGAGGAGGAGGAGGACGAGGGGGGGGAUGAAGGAUCCGGGGGGGGCACCCCUAAAAAAGGACCCCCACCCUACGACUCAGAGCUGCAGCCAAAGGACAAAGACCCGGGGGGGGAGGAACGCCCCCCCCACCUCCCCCAGGCACAGCUCCAGGUGGUGCCACAGAGGGAGGGGGACACCCGGCAGCCCCCGCAGGAGAAGCGUUGCCCUCCCCUGGGGGGGGUCGCGCAGCGCUGCUGUCGUGGUGCCAGGAGGUGACAGCCGGGUACCGGGGGGUGCGGAUCACCAACUUCAGCACCUCGUGGCGCAAUGGGUUGGCGUUCUGUGCCAUCCUGCACCACCAUCGGCCCUGUGACGUGUAGGGGGGGCACGGGGGGGUCAUAGGGAGGGUCGUGGGGAUGGGGGGGGGACCGGAAGGUGUGGGGAUG